GUGUAUAAGAGACAGAUCAUUAAGUGAAUACAUAGCUUAAUGAGGGGAACUCAGGGAACUGAAACAUCUAAGUACCUGAAGGAAGAGAAAGAAAUUCGAUUCCGUAAGUAGCGGCGAGCGAACGCGGAUUAGCCCAAACCAAUAAAGUUUUCUUUAUUGGGGUUGCGGACAUAUCAUAACGAAGAGGUAUCGUAAUUGAAGAGGUUUGGAAAGACCCACCACAGAAGGUAAUAGUCCUGUAUGUUAAACGAGAAGACUUUAGAUAUGAUCCAGAGUACCACGGGACACGUGAAACCCUGUGGGAAGCAGGAGGGACCACCCUCCAAGGCUAAAUACUACCUAGUGACCGAUAGCGUAUAGUACCGUGAGGGAAAGGUGAAAAGAACCCCGGGAGGGGAGUGAAAUAGAACCUGAAACCCUGCACUUACAAGCUGUGGAAGCACAUUUCUUGUGUGACCGCGUACUUUUUGUAGAACGGGCCAACGAGUUACGUUAAGUAGCAAGGUUAAGCACUUAAGGUGCGGAGCCGUAGCGAAAGCGAGUUUUAACUGAGCGUUCAGUUACUUGACGUAGACCCGAAACCGGGCGACCUACCCAUGAGCAGGAUGAAGCGAAAGUAAAAUUUCGUG
rnacentral:rRNA from 1 species